rnacentral:rRNA from 1 species
GACGAACGCUGGCGGCGUGCCUAAUACAUGCAAGUAGAACGCUGAAGGAGGAGCUUGCUUCUCUGGAUGAGUUGCGAACGGGUGAGUAACGCGUAGGUAACCUGCCUGGUAGCGGGGGAUAACUAUUGGAAACGAUAGCUAAUACCGCAUAAUAGUAGAUGUUGCAUGACAUUUGCUUAAAAGGUGCAAUUGCAUCACUACCAGAUGGACCUGCGUUGUAUUAGCUAGUUGGUGGGGUAACGGCUCACCAAGGCGACGAUACAUAGCCGACCUGAGAGGGUGAUCGGCCACACUGGGACUGAGACACGGCCCAGACUCCUACGGGAGGCAGCAGUAGGGAAUCUUCGGCAAUGGACGGAAGUCUGACCGAGCAACGCCGCGUGAGUGAAGAAGGGUUUCGGAUCGUAAAGCUCUGUUGUAAGAGAAGAACGAGUGUGAGAGUGGAAAGUUCACACUGUGACGGUAGCUUACCAGAAAGGGACGGCUAACUACGUG